GGGUAUCCGGCCUGAGAGGGUGAACGGACACACUGGAACUGAGACACGGUCCAGACUCCUACGGGAGGCAGCAGUAGGGAAUAUUGCUCAAUGGGGGAAACCCUGAAGCAGCAACGCCGCGUGGAGGAUGAAGGUUUUCGGAUUGUAAACUCCUUUUCUAAGAGAAGAUUAUGACGGUAUCUUAGGAAUAAGCACCGGCUAACUCCGUGCCAGCAGCCGCGGUAAUACGGAGGGUGCAAGCGUUACUCGGAAUCACUGGGCGUAAAGAGCGCGUAGGCGGGAUAGCAAGUCAGAUGUGAAAUCCUAUGGCUUAACCAUAGAACUGCAUUUGAAACUAUUAUUCUAGAGUGUGGGAGAGGUAG
rnacentral:rRNA from 1 species